rnacentral:rRNA from 1 species
CCUACGGGUGGCAGCAGUGAGGAAUAUUGGUCAAUGGACGGAAGUCUGAACCAGCCAUGCCGCGUGCAGGAAGACGGCUCUAUGUGUUGUAAACUUCUUUUGUCAAGGGACAAAAUCAGGCUCGAGAGCCUGACCGAGGGUACUUGAAGAAAAAGCAUCGGCUAACUCCGUGCCAGCAGCCGCGGUAAUACGGAGGAUGCGAGCGUUAUCCGGAUUUAUUGGGUUUAAAGGGUGCGUAGGCGGACUGUUAAGUCAGCGGUAAAAGCCCGGGGCUCAACCCCGGCGAGCCGUUGAAACUGGCUGUCUUGAGAUGUCGAGAGGUAUGCGGAAUGCGCAGUGUAGCGGUGAAAUGCUUAGAUAUUGCGCAGAACUCCGAUUGCGAAGGCAGCAUACCGGCGGCGAUCUGACGCUGAGGCACGAAAGCGUGGGUAUCGAACAGGAUUAGAUACCCUUGUAGUC